AUAUAAGAUGGACUAUUAUCCGCCAUGGUCGGAGAGUCACAGGGAAUCAGAAAACAGGACUACAGCAGCUCAGAUGUUUUAUGGAGAAUGAUGUCCCCAUAAGACAAUGAAGUUGCUGGCGAGUAUGUGAUGGAAAAGGCAUAGGAAAUUAAGUAAAAUCUUCUCUACAAACUCGAAUUUUCAGUUCGCAGCUUAAGCAAUGCAAAUAUUUAGCACUUCCUUUGGCGACUUUGAGAAUUCGCCGAACUUCUAAUCUCUAAGUGUGUCUUCCUAACAUUCAAAUGCCUGGAUACUUGUAUCCAUCCGACAUUUUAUACACUAUUGCGCACCAGAAUUGGACAAAGGACAAAGAAUUGAAAACCUUGCGUCGUAGUAUUCGCAGAACAUCUUCUGUAUACUAAAAGGAUACCCUAAACCUGUUCACCGACUUACUGCGAUUCUUCGACCAUGGUGGGUAUGUUCACGAAUGGAAAUGGCCUAUUUCGAGACGACUACGGGGACCGGGGAAAGGCGUUCACAGAAUAGACUGGAUUGGACUUGCGAUAGACAUGGCUGAGCGAAAGGAACAUUUGUGACUUGAUUUCCUGUGUUGUUGAAGCUGGUUGAAAUAUAUUUAUAAAGGAAAACCAA